rnacentral:lncRNA from 1 species
AGUAUUCAAGGAAAAGGCUCUAAAUAACGAAGGCAGAAGCCAAUUUUGCUUUUUUUUUUUUUUGGCACAGCGUUAAUGAAAACACAAUAGACACAAGAGUUUUGUCUCUGUCAGAUCUGCUGAAGCAAGUCCCCAGAAAUACUUGUAUGGCAGGCGAUCUUGCCUGCAUUUCAGUAUGUUUUUCGCAUUGUUCUCUCUGAUUGCAUGGAUAAAAGUUAGCACUCUGCACUCAGCUGCCUGUGGUUUCAUCAGCAAACAAGCUCAGUAAAUCCUUAACAUUUUGCAGUGGUUCCUAAAUUGUACCCUACAGUCAAAGUGGAAACAAACGCUGACCUAAGACUUAGAAGUAUCCAGAAUUGGCCCAAAGGCCAUGAGAAUGAUCUCAAACGUGCAAUAGUUCAGAGAGGGCGGGGAAGGGACCUGAGCUCAGGAGGCCUCUUGCGUUGACUCAAGUUCGUGUGAGACCGCUGUGACAUGCUGGAGAUGGAGUGUUACCCUAGAAACCAGAUGAGAAAGCUGUAUAAAAAUGCUGCUGUCUUCUGUCUACAAGGCCUGCUCCAAAACCCAUUCAAUCUAGCAGAAAGAGCUCCAUCAAAAUCAGCAGACUUAGGAUAAGGCCACAAAGCCAGGUUUGCUGUGUACAGAGAAAUAAAAAAAGUCAAAGAGGGCAGAAAGAAGUAAGGAGAUUUUCUUGCUUGCUUAUUUAAUCUGUCUAAAAUCAAGCUUAUUUUCGUCCCCGUUUGGUGCGGAUGUGCUCCAGGACUGUCCAGCCUUGGGAAAGGAAUUUUGUGCAUUUCUUUGUUAUAAACAAGAUAAGGACUUGGGAAUAAAUAACAGAUACUUUUAGAACAAAACCCAUGUGAUUUUUAAGGGCUUCUACUCCAC